rnacentral:rRNA from 1 species
UACGGGGGGGGCAAGCGUUGUUCGGAAUUACUGGGCGUAAAGAGCUCGUAGGCGGUUUGUUGCGUCGGCUGUGAAAUCCCGAGGCUCAACCUCGGGUCUGCAGUCGAUACGAGCAAACUAGAGUGUUGCAGGGGAGACUGGAAUUCCUGGUGUAGCGGUGAAAUGCGUAGAGAUCAUGAGGAAGACCAGUGGCGAAGGCGGGUCUCUGGACAGUUCCUGACACUGAGGCACGAAGGCCAGGGGAGCAAACGGG